UAGUAAAAACAAAAUUUACCACGAGCAGUUGGCAAGCACGUGGUUGUAGAGAUCGACCUGAAACCUAAUUCACAAACCCGAUCUUUCAAUCUCUAUGCCGCAAAGAAUUGCAGAAAUUUGUAGGAUUUGCUACACAGCACAGCCCAGUGGCCGUGGUAUUCAAAUACACGAGAUAUGGGUUCGGCUUGUUCACAGUGGGGGAAAGGUUGAGGCACGACGCAGAGGAACUUUCAGGCGCCGGUGGAAGCAAGGCUGUGGUUAGGCCGGUUCAUAAAGGUAUUAACUUGCUUCAAUUACCCGACAGAUUUGACCGUCCUCAGAGUAAACCGAGCAUUUUAUUAAGCUUAUCCUCAUCGUUGAUGCUUCUCUGUUUGUGUAGAAUUUGACAUGCUUUUGAGAUUUUAGUUUUACAUGAUAAUAGCACAUUGGAUUAAGUGAAUGUUUUGGUGGUUGUGACUCAGACAAUGGGUCACCCCCUCAUCGCCGCCGUUGCAGUUUGAAGGUAACGAUUAGUUAAGCAAAAGCUUUACUCUGACUCAUAUUUCUUUUUGUAUUAAUUUAGCUAAAGUGUAGGUAGAUCAUUGUUGGCAGCAGCCAAAAAUUGAAAACAAUAUCAAUGAUUAUGGUUUUGGUACUUGGUUGAUCCUUAGUAGUUCAUUGCAAAUAAUUGUAAUGGGUUGAGUUUUUUUUAGUUUUUUUUUUUCCUUUUCUUUUGGUUCCAACAAACUGUAAUGGGUUGACUGCAAUAUCAAAUAUGGUAAAAUAGUGAAAUCAAGACAAAGAAAAUCAUUAUUUAGUUGAGUUUGCUAUAUCAACACGCACAAUGAUAAUUGCAUAGGUGUUUAGAGGACCAUCGUACGGCCAUUUUACUAUAUCCGGUCACGCAAUGGUGUUGAAUAAGGGUUGUAGGGUCGACUAUUCUAACUGUAUUAAGAGAAGAAAUUUCAGACGAAAACCAACCAGAGCAAGGGAUUGGAGCUCUGCUGACUCCGGAAAAAUGGUUACUACUGAGGCAAUGUAAACAUAGAAGGGUGUUGCCAGAUAAUCUGAUAAAUCUGGCUGAAGUACAAUGGACGUUUUGCUGAUAUGUGACCAACCAUUAAAGUGAAUACAACCUUAUAUAUAGAGGCUGUAAUUUCAGCAUUAUCAAGGGGUUAAGCAAACCGCAGCUGAAGGGAAUCUUUAGGAAUGCUGGACCACAUUAUUGUGAAAACAAGUGUUUGAAGUUGCCGUUAAAGAGAUAUCAGUUGUUUCAGACUCUGUCAGUCAUGGAUUGUCAACUAAUCCGUUUGAUCCAAAUAUUGUUAGUUUCUUUACAGGCAAUGGAUAAAGUUUAAAUGUCGUAUUCAUGCUACCUGAAGGACAAAGAAAGAUUGGAGAAAGAAGUGAGAAACAUAUUAUAAGCUAACUGCUCGUCGAGUGAUAUAGUGCACGCAUUUUCGUUGCUCAUUGAUUUUUCAAAUGGUUACAUAAUCCUGGUUGAUAAAGAUGCAGAGGACUUGUGCAGGGAAAGGAGUGCUGGAGCCUGGAGGUUAAAAGGUGGUAGUUUUGCGUAUAUCUUGAUUGCUGGAAGACCCCACUCCCUUCCUGAAUUUGUUUUUGCAGAAGUCAUUCCUUUCAAAAAAAUACAUGCGAUGUCAGUUGUAUUGUAUAAUAAAGUGAACUCAUGUUAAGGGUUUAAGAUACGUAACCAGCCAAUCAAGAUCCAAUGUGUUUUUAGUGUAGAAGUUGCAAUUCAAAAGUAUUUUGUCUUUGAUAGUGCUCUUGUAAACUCCGGUUAUUAUUUUUGCGGUUCAUUUUACUUUUCCACGUAA